rnacentral:rRNA from 1 species
GAGUUUGAUCCUGGCUCAGAACGAACGCUGGCGGCAGGCCUAACACAUGCAAGUCGAGCGCACCUUCGGGUGAGCGGCGGACGGGUUAGUAACGCGUGGGAACGUACCCAGAUCUAAGGAAUAGCCACUGGAAACGGAGAGUAAUACCUUAUACGCCCUUCGGGGGAAAGAUUUAUCGGAUUUGGAUCGGCCCGCGUUAGAUUAGGUAGUUGGUGGGGUAAUGGCCUACCAAGCCUACGGUCUAUAGCUGGUUUUAGAGGAUGAUCAGCAACACUGGGACUGAGACACGGCCCAGACUCCUACGGGAGGCAGCAGUGGGGAAUCUUAGACAAUGGGGGCAACCCUGAUCUAGCCAUGCCGCGUGAGUGAAGAAGGUCUUAGGAUCGUAAAGCUCUUUCGCCAGGGAUGAUAAUGACAGUACCUGGUAAAGAAACCCCGGCUAACUCCGUGCCAGCAGCCGCGGUAAUACGGAGGGGGUUAGCGUUGUUCGGAAUUACUGGGCGUAAAGCGCGCGUAGGCGGAUCAGAAAGUUGGGGGUGAAAUCCCAGGGCUCAACCCUGGAACUGCCUCCAAAACUCCUGGUCUUGAGUUCGAGAGAGGUGAGUGGAACUCCGAGUGUAGAGGUGAAAUUCGUAGAUAUUCGGAAGAACACCAGUGGCGAAGGCGGCUCACUGGCUCGAUACUGGCGCUGAGGUGCGAAAGUGUGGGGAGCAAACAGGAUUAGAUACCCUGGUAGUCCACACCGUAAACGAUGAAUGCCAGUCGUCGGGUAGUAUACUAUUCGGUGACACACCUAACGGAUUAAGCAUUCCGCCUGGGGAGUACGGUCGCAAGAUUAAACUCAAGGAAUUGAC